ensembl:ncRNA lncRNA:CR45447 long non-coding RNA:CR45447
UGGCGUUCUUGUUCAUCCAUUAACAGUUGCCUACAACUUUGACAUAAUGUUCAAGGACAAAUUUCUACAUACAUCCAUUUUGAUUUACAACCUCAAUUACUCAGCCGCCUUUUUGGGCAGCCCCAAGAGAACUGAACUGACACCCGACCACGCCAUAUAGCAUAUAGUAUAUAGCAUAUAGCACCAGCUCACAGAUCGCAGAACAGAGCUGAAGCGAACCAAACCGAACCGAAAAGAACUGAGCAAACCAUCGCCAUCUUCAACUGGUGGGCCAUUUAUGGGUCUGGCAAUGCCAACAGACCGAC